rnacentral:misc_RNA from 1 species
GAGAGUGCUCUGGAAGGAGUUUUGUAAGACGAGAGCUCCAAAAAUGAUGCUUGAUUUACAGUCCAGUGGGAGUCACAGUGUUGAUGGGAACUGGAGGGCUCUUGGAAAGCUUCUUAUUUACUGUUCUGGAUGUACUAAAGGUGGCUUAUUCAACAGCAUCCAUGUUCCAGGACACUUUGUUUACAGGACUAGGUUCUCUAGGACCUCUGGGAAGAGCUUUCUGUUACCACAAUGCAGGACGGAUGUAUUGUAUGUUUCUGAUCCUUGCGAGCAUCUUGACCAAGGAGAAGAGGGGGAUAUUGGAUUUUUUCGGGGAAUAUUUAAAUCCUUUGCUACCUCCAAAGUUCGUAAAAUGUUAAUUAAGAGGGAGGCUCAGCUCCAUCCAACAGAAGUGUGCCCUUACUGUAAGGCAAAACUGUGGAGCAUGCUGCAAGCAAAAAUGGUACCAGAAAGUGCCAGCUGUAGAUUGGGUGCUUAUGAAGAUGCAAUUGAGUAUUAUGUGUGCCUUAAUGGGCAUGUGCUUGGGAUAUGUACCCUCUUGCCCUUGUCUGAUUCUGAGGAAGCUUCAGAUCACAGUGAUGCAUGAAUGCAGAGGGGAAAAAGAUGAUAAAAGUCGUUGGAUUGUUCUAUAACGGACAAGCAAGAAAUAGUUCAUUAAGUGGAAGAUCUCUUUUGGUGGACCGGACCAUGGACAUGGAACUGUAUUUAUGCAAGCUUGCCACUUUCCAAACUUAUCUGACCCGAUAGUAGUUCACUGCAAACCUUUGACAUAUCGUUGUUAUCUCAGUUGUAACAAACACAAGAAUUUGUUUGUAUAUUUUAUGGCCUCAAAUGUGCAUCUAAUCUAAGUGACAUGUUAGAAUCUGCAACAUUUCGAGAGUUGUUUGUUGUGAGAAGCAGUUAAGAGUUACCCCAUGUAAAGUUUGAAAAAA